rnacentral:rRNA from 1 species
UGGGCGUAAGCGCGCGUAGGCGGCUUCUUAAGUCUGAUGUGAAAUCCCCCACCUUUACUUGGGAAUUGCAUUCGAUACUGGUUAGCUAGAGUGCCUUAGAGGAUGGUAGAAUUCCAGGUGUAGCGGUGAAAUGCGUAGAGAUCUGGAGGAAUACCGAUGGCGAAGGCAGCCCUCUGGUCUAACACUGACGCUGAGGUGCGAAAGCAUGGGGAGCAAACAGGAUUAGAUACCCUGGUAGUCCAUGCCGUAAACGAUGUCUACUAGCCGUUGGGGCCUUUGAGGCUUUAGUGGCGCAGCUAACGCGAUAAGUAGACCGCCUGGGGAGUACGGUCGCAAGACUAAAACUCAAAUGAAUUGACGGGGGCCCGCACAAGCGGUGGAGCAUGUGGUUUAAUUCGAUGUUACGCGAAGAACCUUACCUGGCCUUGACAUAGUGAGAACUUUCCAGAGAUGGAUUGGUGCCUUCGGGAACUUACAUACAGGUGCUGCAUGGCUGUCGUCAGCUCGUGUCGUGAGAUGUUGGGUUAAGUCCCGCAACGAGCGCAACCCUUUUCCUUAUUUGCCAGCGAGUAAUGUCGGGAACUUUCAGGAUACUGCCAGUGACAAACUGGAGGAAGGCGGGGACGACGUCUAGUCAUCGUG